UACGGAGGGUGCAAGCGUUAUCCGGAUUCACUGGGCUUAAAGGGCGCGUAGGCGGGCCGGUAAGUCCGUGGUGAAAUCUCUGAGCUUAACUCAGAAACUGCCAUGGAUACUAUUUGUCUUGAAUAUUGUGGAGGUGAGCGGAAUAUGUCAUGUAGCGGUGAAAUGCGUAGAUAUGACAUAGAACACCAAUUGCGAAGGCAGCUCACUACGCAAUUAUUGACGCUGAGGCACGAAAGCGUGGGGAGCAAACAGG
rnacentral:rRNA from 1 species